AGUGUAAUAAAAUUUUCGAACCGUAUAAAACGCAGCUUGGUUUCAAUAUAGUAAUAUGCUUUUAUUGAGCUUAGUUGGAAGUGAUCUGUUGUGUACUAAUACUUUUGAAGAGAACGUAUAUGCAAAGUAUAACAAGAAGUUUCAUUAUGUUAUCGCGUACACAUACAUCAUAGGUAUAUUAUAGAUAUGUUCGUUUAUAUGUGCUUUAAAGCAAUAAGCGUUUACUAUAUUUUUAUGAAGCCCUCGACUGCACAUAUACUGUAUACGUAACACAUGAACACAUUUUCCAAUAAAAAAGUGUAUCGUCGAAUGAAAAAA